rnacentral:tRNA from 1 species
GGUUUCGUAGCUCAGUUGGUAGAGCAGCUGACUCUUAAUCAGCGGGCCCAGGGUUCGAGUCCCUGCGGAACCA